rnacentral:rRNA from 1 species
CCUACGGGAGGCAGCAGUGAGGAAUAUUGGUCAAUGGACGAGAGUCUGAACCAGCCAAGUAGCGUGAAGGAUGACUGCCCUAUGGGUUGUAAACUUCUUUUAUAUGGGAAUAAAAUGUUCCACGUGUGGGAUUUUGUAUGUACCAUAUGAAUAAGGAUCGGCUAACUCCGUGCCAGCAGCCGCGGUAAUACGGAGGAUCCGAGCGUUAUCCGGAUUUAUUGGGUUUAAAGGGAGCGUAGGUGGAUUGUUAAGUCAGUUGUGAAAGUUUGCGGCUCAACCGUAAAAUUGCAGUUGAGACUGGCAGUCUGGAGUACAGGAGAGGUAGGCGGAAUUCGUGGUGUAGCGGUGAAAUGCUUAGAUAUCACGAAGAACGCAGAUUGCGAAGGCAGUUCACUGGACUGUAACUGACACUGAUGCUCGAAAGUGUGGGUAUCAAACAGGAUUAGAUACCCGAGUAGUC